rnacentral:rRNA from 1 species
GACGAACCGUGCGAACGUUGUUCAGAAUCACUGGGCUUAAAGGGCGCGUAGGCGGCUCCGCAAGUCAGGGGUGAAAUCUUUCGGCUUAACCGGAAAAGUGCCUCUGAUACUGCGGAGCUCGAGGGAGGUAGGGGCGGACGGAACUUCCGGUGGAGCGGUGAAAUGCGUUGAUAUCGGAAGGAACGCCGGUGGCGAAAGCGGUCCGCUGGCCCUCUACUGACGCUGAGGCGCGAAAGCCAGGGGAGCAAACGGG